rnacentral:lncRNA from 1 species
CUAAUUAAACAAAAGUUGAAGUUGUAACAUUAUAUUAACUAAACAUGAUAAGUGUAGAAGCCCAAACUCUCAUUAAGGAUUUCGAGCAUUUAGCCCUAUCAUGAUAAUAUAGUAAUACUGAAAUUAUCGUAGCGCAGGAAAAAUAAAAAUUUAAAAGUUACAUUCCUUAGAGCUUUACUUAAAUUGCUCAUAUAUGGGCUAAAUAAAUGUUAAGAAGUUAAAAUGAGAAAACUGCUACAAAGUAAUUAUUAACCUCAAUUCGAAUUUGGCGAAGCGGGAGGAAAUAAUGUCCUAGUUAGUCUUUCAUUGUUCGGAAUCCGAGUCUUGAUCGUCUUGAUUUGAAAUGUAAUAACUAGACUUAAAUGAGAGGAGGAAGCCCAGGCCUAGGCCAGAAAAUGUAAAAAUAAUAAAAAAUAAUAAUAAAAGAAACCAUAGCAGAAAGGGGGACAAGGGCGAUGAAGAAGAAGAAC